GUGCAGCAAAGCUACAGAGGGUAAAAUUAUUUAUGGAACUCCAUGACUGCCCAAAGAGCAUAAGCACAGAAAGCAACUUGAAAGUUUGAAAAUCCGGAUUCCUUGCACAAAGCCUCAAAUUCUUUCUCGGUUCUCUCCUGGCCUUCAAGGUUCAACAACAUGCUAACGUCAAGACGAGAGAUAUAUUGAGAAGCCAUACUUGACACUGUAGCUUCUGGCAUGAGUAGUUCAAUAAUAACUACCUUCCCAUUAUCUGGUAGUGCUUUAUAGCAGGUCCUCAAAAGUUUCUUGCAGUUUUCAUCAUUCCAGUCAUGGAGUAUAU